rfam:Ipomoea nil DNA, scaffold: scaffold2378, cultivar: Tokyo-kokei standard.
GGAUGCGAUCAUACCAGCACUAAUGCACGGAUCCCAUCAGAACUCCGAAGUUAAGCGUGCUUGGGCGAGAGUAGUACUAGGAUGGGUGACCCCCUGGGAAGUCCUCGUGUUGCAUCCC